CUUAGCGGCGGACGGGUGAGUAACACGUGGGCAACCUACCUUGUAGAUUGGGAUAACUCCGGGAAACCGGGGCUAAUACCAAAUAAUCCAUUUUGCUUCAUGGCGAAAUGUUGAAAGGCGGCUUCGGCUGUCACUACGAGAUGGGCCCGCGGCGUAUUAGCUAGUUGGUAGGGUAAUGGCCUACCAAGGCGACGAUACGUAGCCGACCUGAGAGGGUGAUCGGCCACACUGGGACUGAGACACGGCCCAGACUCCUACGGGAGGCAGCAGUAGGGAAUCUUCCACAAUGGGCGAAAGUCUGAUGGAGCAACGCCGCGUGAGUGAAGAAGGUUUUCGGAUCGUAAAACUCUGUUGUAAGGGAAGAACACGUACGAGAGUAACUGCUCGUACCUUGACGGUACCUUAUUAGAAAGCCACGGCUAACUACGUGCCAGCAGCCGCGGUAAUACGUAGGUGGCAAGCGUUGUCCGGAAUUAUUGGGCGUAAAGCGCGCGCAGGCGGUCCUUUAAGUCCGAUGUGAAAGCCCACGGCUCAACCGUGGA
rnacentral:rRNA from 1 species